AGCCGCUGCGGUAAUACAUAGGGUGCAAGCGUUAUCCGGAAUUAUUGGGCGUAAAGCGUCUGUAGGCGGUAAGGUAAGUAGAGGAUUAAAUAUUCGGGCCCAACCCGAAUGCUGUUCUCUAAACUACCAUACUAGAGGUAAAUAGAGGCAAGUGGAAUUCCAGGUGUAGGGGUUAAAUCCGUUGAUAUCUGGAGGAACGCCAAAAGCGAAGGCAGCUUGCUGGAUUUACCUGACGCUCAGAGACGAAAGCGUGGGGAGCGAAAAGGAUUAGAUACCCUUGUAGUCCACGCCGUAAACGAUGAACACUAGGUGUUGGUGCCUCGAUCGCAUCAGUGCCGAAGCUAACGCGUUAAGUGUUCCGCCUGAAGACUACGAUCGCAAGAUUAAAACUUAAAGGAAUGGACGGGGACCCACACAAGCGGUGGAGCAUGUUGUUUAAUUCGACGAUAAACGGGGAACCUUACCAGGGUUUGACAUCCCGAGAAAGUCCUAGAAAUAGGACCGUGCCUUUUGGAACUCGGUGACAGGUGCUGCAUGGUU
rnacentral:rRNA from 1 species